UUCACGCUUAAAGUCUGUAGAUGUUGCUCAGAACAGAGGGGGAUCGAGGCCAUGGGGAGAGACACAACAAUUGUUGGAAUAUAAGUUCGGUCCUGAGAAGGCCAGCACUUUUAACACAUAUGCUGUCAUGAAGUCUGGAUUCAAAAAAGUUGACAAAGCUGGAAAAAGCGCUCCUAUUCCCAGCAGGAGAGCACAAACCCGUCUUGAUGAAUACAGUGCAAGAACACAACUUCAUGAAAAUUCAAAAGAAUUAGAUGUACAAGCAUUGUAUUUCAUGGAACGGGGAAUGGCCCAUGGCCGCUUGCCAAUAGCUGAUGGUUAUGUGGAUAAGCAAACACUUGCAGCAACUGCUAAAUCAAAUCGUUUUCGCUCAAGCAACACAGCUGCUUAUCAAGCUGUAGUACAUGAAAAUGAGGAAUUGAAAGAGAGGAAUGAUGCACUGAACGAAACAAAUAAGAAG